rnacentral:tRNA from 1 species
UUUAGUGCGGGAGAUUUGUUGUGUGGAGUUUGAGAGAAGGCGAGACACUUUUCGGUGUGUUGUGGAAACUGGCG